rnacentral:rRNA from 1 species
GAUGAACGCUGGCGGCGUGCCUAAUACAUGCAAGUCGAGCGAAUGGAUUAAGAGCUUGCUCUUAUGAAGUUAGCGGCGGACGGGUGAGUAACACGUGGGUAACCUGCCCAUAAGACUGGGAUAACUCCGGGAAACAGGGGCUAAUACCGGAUAACAUUUUGAACCGCAUGGUUCGAAAUUGAAAGGCGGCUUCGGCUGUCACUUAUGGAUGGACCCGCGUCGCAUUAGCUAGUUGGUGAGGUAACGGCUCACCAAGGCAACGAUGCGUAGCCGACCUGAGAGGGUGAUCGGCCACACUGGGACUGAGACACGGCCCAGACUCCUACGGGAGGCAGCAGUAGGGAAUCUUCCGCAAUGGACGAAAGUCUGACGGAGCAACGCCGAGUGAGUGAUGAAGGCUUUCGGGUCGUAAAACUCUGUUGUUAGGGAAGAACAAGUGCUAGUUGAAUAAGCUGGCACCUUGACGGUACCUAACCAGAAAGCCACGGCUAACUACGUGCCAGCCGCCGCUGUAA